rnacentral:rRNA from 1 species
AUUGAACGCUGGCGGAAUGCUUUACACAUGCAAGUCGAACGGCAGCACGGGGCAACCUGGUGGCGAGUGGCGAACGAGUGAGUAAUACAUCGGAACGUGCCCAAUCGUGGGGGAUAACGUAGCGAAAGUUACGCUAAUACCGCAUACGAUCUACGGAUGAAAGCGGGGAUCGCAAGACCUCGCGCGAAUGGAGCGGCCGAUGUCAGAUUAGGUAGUUGGUGGGGUAAAGGCUCACCAAGCCAACGAUCUGUAGCUGGUCUGAGAGGACGACCAGCCACACUGGAACUGAGACACGGUCCAGACUCCUACGGGAGGCAGCAGUGGGGAAUUUUGGACAAUGGGCGCAAGCCUGAUCCAGCCAUUCCGCGUGCAGGAUGAAAGGCCUUCGGGUUGUAAACUGCUUUGUUACGGACGAACGCGAGCUCUAAUAACAGUUUGUCUAAUGACGGUACCGUAAGAAUAAAGCACCGGCUAACCUAACGUUGCCAGCAGCCGCGGUAA